CUGACCACAGUUUCUCUCGACUUCUCUCGCUCCUCACUCCCGCUCCAUAGCCCUUUCUCUACGCAUUUGUUCCCUUUGUUUUUCGUUUUCAACACAUUCCAGUACCAUGUCCACCCUCAAGGAAGUCAACGGCCGUCUGAACGCGCAGCCGUUCGUGUCGGGCUUCUCCCCUAGCUCCGAGGAUGCCCGCAUCUUCAACGAGAUGUUCGGCAGUAACGUGAACGUGAUCCAGUGGGUGGCCCGCAUGGCCUCCUACUACCAGGCCGAGCGCGAUGAGAUACUCAACGCCGGUACCGAGAAGAAGGCGACUGAGUCCGCAAAGAAGGCCGCCGCCCCGGCUCCUGCCGCUGCCGCUGCCGCCGAGGAGGAGGACGACAUCGACCUGUUCGGCGAGACGACGGAGGAGGAGAAGGCAGCGCUGGAGGCGAAGAAGGCGAAGGACGCGGAGAAGAAGAAGGCGAAGAAGGAUGUGAUUGCGAAGUCGUCGAUCCUGUUCGAUAUCAAGGCGUGGGACGACACGAUCGACCUGGAGGCGCUCGCGCAGAAGCUGCACGCGAUCCAGCGCGACGGCCUGAUCUGGGGUGACCACAAGCUGGUGCCCGUUGCGUUUGGCGUGAAGAAGCUGCAGCAGCUGAUCGUCAUUGAGGACGACAAGGUGUCCGGCGACGACCUGGAGGAGAUGAUCAUGGGCUUCGAGGAGGAGGUGCAGUCGAUGGAUAUCGUCGCCUGGAACAAGAUUUAAGGGGAGCGUGUGUUUGCUGCGCAACUCGAAUCCCUUGCUGCCGUUCCCACUCAGCGAACAACGAUAAUCUGAAAGGGACGGUCGAGUGCCACGCAGAGGAAUGCGGUGCCGUGAGGCGUGCGGCAAUCUUUGCGGCAGGACCAAAAGGGACGUAUGCCGGCUGUCGGAGAAGGGGCAAAGACGUUGGGAAGUUCGCUGCGGCGGAGCAUGCAGCUCAGUGCUUAUGUGCCGUUUUCGACCUGCGUAACGCUGGAAGGAACCUGGUGGGCUUCACGUACAGCGCGCCAUUUGCCUCCUUGAGGCGUGAGGGGCUGAGCGACGCGCUUCCUUGUGGCUCGUACUCCCUGUUCUCCCUGCUCCUCUACCGUGCUUUCCUCCCUGCCUCAACGAUCCUGUGCUGACCGUAGCGACUCGCCGGUGCUCCCCUCGGUGCCUGUCUGUCGCUUGAGACGCUACGCACGCACCGCUGCUUCCCUCAGCCCCGCCUUCUACCCGUUUCCCGAGCAUGCGCCAUGUCACGUGUUCUUUGCUGUCUUCGUUUUCUUGUCGGUCUUUUUAUUUGCCGCCGCCGCUGGCAG
rnacentral:misc_RNA from 1 species